rnacentral:rRNA from 1 species
UGGGGAAUAUUGGACAAUGGGCGAAAGCCUGAUCCAGCCAUGCCGCGUGUGUGAAGAAGGUCUUCGGAUUGUAAAGCACUUUAAGAUGGGAGGAAGGGCAGUAAGCGAAUACCUUGCUGUUUUGACGUUACCGACAGAAUAAGCACCGGCUAACUCUGUGCCAGCAGCCGCGGUAAUACAGAGGGUGCAAGCGUUAAUCGGAAUUACUGGGCGUAAAGCGCGCGUAGGUGGUUCGUUAAGUUGAAUGUGAAAGCCCCGGGCUCAACCUUGGAACUGCAUCCACAGCUGGCGAGCUAGAGUAGGGCAGAGGGUGGUGGAAUUUCCUGUGUAGCGGUGAAAUGCGUAGAUAUAGGAAGGAACACCAGUGGCGAAGGCGACCACCUGGGCUCAUACUGACACUGAGGUGCGAAAGCGUGGGGAGCAAACAGG